rnacentral:miRNA from 10 species
CAUCUUACCGGAUAGCAUUAGA